rnacentral:rRNA from 1 species
GAUGAACGCUGGCGGCGUGCCUAAUACAUGCAAGUCGAGCGAACAGACGAGGAGCUUGCUCCUCUGACGUUAGCGGCGGACGGGUGAGUAACACGUGGAUCACCUACCUAUAAGACUGGGAUAACUUCGGGACACCGGCGCUAAUCCCGGAUAAUCUCUUGCACCGCAUGGUUCAAUAGUGAAAGACGGUUUUGCUGUCUCUUCUCGCUGGUUCCGCGCCGCAUUAGCUAGUUGGUAAGGUCACGGCUUACCACGGCAACGAUGCGUAGCCGACCGGUGUGGGUGAUCGGCCACACGGGAACGGAGACGCGGACCAGACGCCUGCGGGAGGCAGCAGUAGGGAAUCUUCCGCAAUGGGCGAGAGCCUGACGGAGCAACGCCGCGUGAGUGAUGAAGGUCUUCGGAGCGUAAAACUCGGUUAUUAGGGAAGAACAGAUGUGUAAGUAACUAUGCACGUCGUGACGGUACCUAAUCAGAAAGCCACGGCUAACUACGUG